UUGGUUCCCUGUCCGUUGUCUUGAAUCAAUUUCGGUUUAAUUGUACAUGAAAAGAUGUUUACGAACCACCCAAAAGACUAUCUAACGUAAACAAACACAUCAGUACUCGAGCUCACAACAGAGUCAACGUUAUGUUCCCAUGUGAAAGCAGGAGAGGCAUUGAUAAAAGAUGCAUUAAACAUCUAAGUAAAAAACAAAACAAGACAAUGAGCUUUUCCCAGGAUCAUUGAGGCAACUUCAGCUAUAGAUAACAUUUGCCAUUCAUGGGAGUAGAGGAAUGAGAGGCGAUGGGACUUAGGAAACAAAGAGGAUUGUAUGGCUGGACUGUGAAUGGAGGAGAAACGCAUGCAUGGAGCAGCAAUGGAGGAGAGACUACAGUGUAAGGUGUGUGACAUUGACCUCUGGGCUUUUGAACCUGUGACCUGCCACAAUCCCGAAGCUCAUUCAAUAGCACUAAGUGAUCAGCACCUCCAAGACAAAGACUCCAGCUGCCUGGUGUUGAAAUAUGCAUUAGGCUCCCUCAAUCUCAUCCCGGCCCG
rnacentral:lncRNA from 1 species